CACGUAGGUAAUCUACCUUCGGAUGGGGAAUAACAAUCGGAAACGGUUGCUAAUACCGCAUAAUGCAGCGGCACCUAAUGGUGACAGUUGUUAAAGCGGGGGAUCGAAAGACCUCGCGUCUGAAGAGGAGCCUGCGGCGGAUUAGCUAGUUGGUAAGGUAACGGCUUACCAAGGCGACGAUCCGUAGCCGGCCUGAGAGGGCGGUCGGCCACACUGGCACUGAAACACGGGCCAG
rnacentral:rRNA from 1 species